CGCACCUUGCGCUCCUUGGUAUUCCGAGGAGCACGCCUGUUCGAGUGUCGUGAAACUCUCAAGCUAGACACUUUAUUGCUGUCUGUUUGGUUAUUGGGCUCUGCUGUCUCCUCUUCUGGAACGGCUGGCCUCAAAUGUAUUAGCUGGUCCUUGUCGUGGGAAUUGGUUCUACUCAGCGUGAUAAUUCAUGACCGCUGAGGACAUCUUCCGGGAUGGCCAGGCCUGCCUUGGAUUGCUUCCAACAAUCAAACUUUUUUCAACUUUGACCUCGAAUCAGGCGGGACUACCCGCUGAACUUAA
rnacentral:misc_RNA from 1 species